AUGGAUCCAGCGCCGAAACGCCGGCUAACUCCUAUACAUCAUCUCCCAGCUCUUCGACGGCGUUGGAGGAGAUGCCGGCACGACGCGGAUGGAACCGGAGAAAAAAAAUCCAUGUGCGCGCCCUCCACCGACGCCUUGAGGGCGACACCAGGAAAACCUUACUCCGCCGACCCGGACAAGCGACGGAGAGACAGAUCCGUGUCCCCUCGACAACAUCAAACAUCGCCGACGAGGAGGAGGCCCAGAAAGCUUUAUUUGCUGCGGCGACGCCGGCAUCAACCAAUCAACGUCGCCCAACAUACCUAUCCUACCACUAUCUACACGCUGGGCGAGUGGAUCCGGGGCUCCCCCUCUCUCCUGCUGCCGCCGGAGCGAUGA
rnacentral:rRNA from 1 species